ensembl:lncRNA
AGAAAACCUAAUCUCAUGGUUGUAGGUCCCUUUUUUAUCCUUCUUCUUCUUCCAACAUGGCAUUCCUGGGAGCUUGAACAAGACUACACAAGCUGAACUACAUACUUCAUCAUUAAUUAAAGACUACUAUUAAGAUGAAAACAGUGGUAUUGCACUGAUGAUGCUGAGUGGUGCUUACACAGAGUCAAGGACUUUUCUGACUCUCAUGCUGCCCUGCCUGCAACGAGGCUAGGAAUGCAUGAAAAGAGGAGGUGGGGCACGGACAGGACAACUGAGCCAAACUAACCAAAGGAAUAUUCCUUACCAUAUGAUGACAUGUACAAGAGUUCACCAUCAGGUCCCAAGGAAAUAGGCAUGAGAGGACUGGGUGCCAGGUGCUGGAGAAUGGGGUCUCAGCAUCAGCUCCUGAACAACCUGUGGAACAGCACAUAUGCUGUCUCAACUCAGUCUGGAAGCAUUCCACCUACCACAUCCCCACAGUCUUCUUAAGAGGAAGUGAACUGAAUGCUUCCGCCUGUAAUAAUAAAAUACCAGAGAGCAAUCCAUGUCCUGCCCUCCUUCAUGCAGAACCAACGAGCAUGUAUUUAUACUCUUUACUAAGUAGCAUCAGAUUUAUCAUUUUAGUUCCGAUAGUCUAAAGCAGAGCCAGAAAGUUGUGUCAACAGUUAAGCUUUGUGUGUGAUUAGAAGGUGCAGUGCUGUUCUGAAUUAUACUCUGUGACAUAUAAUUUUUCUCAAGUAUUGUGUAGAGAGAACAAGCAACCAUUCUAGGUUGGUGGAAGAAACUCCAUGCCUUCUAAGAUACUGCAUCUCCCUGUCGGGAAAAAAAAGGAAAAAAACCAAACCAAAACACAACAUUAUGUUUAUUUUUCUUUUUUAAAAUCACCUCAACCUUAAAACUUGCUAUGGGUACAAAUUAUUGAGGAAAGAAGAAGACAAUUCAUAAACUCCUUUUAAAAUUCUAAAAAUACCCUGUGAAGUGUGAAAAGUCACUGAUGUUACAAAGUUCAGUGAUCUGUAAUAACUAUUAUUGUUUCCAUUGACCCAUAGUAAUAAUUGACCUGGACUGGAAAUAGCAGCACUCAAUAAUGCAUUUCCAAUUUUCUGAAUGUUCCAUUCUCCCAAGACACACACAAAAACAUCAGUUUACAUUAGAUUGUCUAGCUUUUAGUCUGGUUAUGCUUUUGAUGACAGUAGAACUGUAAUCAAAAUACUAGAGGGUAAUGAAUAUAAUACCAAAUAAUUAAAUACAAAUCAAUAGACAACUGUAUACAGCAUAAAAAAGAUAGAUUUUUCUUUCAAAAAAAUAAUACAAAUAUCAAUAUUCAUCAUGUUAGAAGAAACAAUUGUGGUUUUGUUAUGUGCUACACUGAAAGGUAAGAGAAGGAUCAUUUUGGUUGAAAAAUGCCUUCGAGAUCAAAUUCAACUAUUCACUACACUUCAAGUUCACUGCUAAACCAUCUCUGCAUACCCCACAUACAUAUGUUUCUUAAGUGCCUCCAAGGGUGGUGAUUCCAUCGCCCAACUGGGCAGCCUGUUCCAAUGCCAAACCAUUCCUUAUGUGAAUAAAUUCUU